rnacentral:snRNA from 1 species
AGCUUUGCGCAGUGGCAGUAUCAUAGCCAAUGAGGUUUAUCCGAGGCGUGAUUAUUGCUAAUUGAAAA